rnacentral:piRNA from 1 species
CUUACAGAAAACUCCUAAAAGC